CCACAUGACCCGGAAGCUGUCUGCGGACAAACGCCGGCUCCAUCGGCCUGUAGAGCGAGAUGAGCGCCGCAACCCCAGAGUCAUCCACGACUGGACCUAACAGUCAGGGGUACCUUUACCUUUAUUUAUAUUGGCAUUAAGCAAUCUAUUGUAUAAAACAGGAUUAAAAUAAAAAGUCAACAAAAUAAACAGACCAAAAAGAGAGAGGAAAAUACACCUUACCCCUCAGACAAGCCAGUCCUUUGAACAGCUUGGUUAAAACUCAAUACGAAAAGCUGUUGAGAGCACAAAAUUAGCAUGUACUAAACAGAAAAAGCUAAAUCAGAUCCAACCCUCAUCUAUUUUAAGCUGUAAAGCCGGGUUAGCUCUUCCAGACAUUGCAGGAGUACAGUUCAUGUUAGUCCUUAUGCAGACUGGGGCUGAUGGAAGUUGUAACUACAAUCAAAUUUGCAGGGGCACUAUAAAUUCCCCAUUUGUGCUACCAAACAAUGUAUAUUGAGAUUCCUGCAUUGUACGGGGUUGGACUAGAUGGCUCUCAGUGUCCCUUGGAAUUCUACAAUUCUAUAAUUCUAUGCAUAGUUGUAUUAAAUGUCACUGUGCAAUCAUCACAAUAUCCUUAUAUCUGAGCAAAUGGCACAUUUCAUGUUGGCUUAGAACAAUUUUUAAGGAUGGCACAAAGUACCUAAUGGUGAUUUAGAGUAAGAAGAAUCUGCUUUGCUUAUAGAUUUCUCUUUGUUAUAGCUGCCAAGAGAAGAUUAAAAAAAUAAUGGGUGAGAGGUUAGAAAGUCUUUGAGGCUGACAUGGUAAAGAGAAACAAUUCUCAUUUUAUUCUCAAGAUAUUCAAUAGCAGACAUUGUUCUGUUUAACCAUUAAAACAAAGAGUGCAGUGUGGCUUAAGGUGAUGUUCCGGACCAGUUUCUGCAUUUUGUCCCUUGUAAUUUACUGGCUGUUAUUUCAUUCCCCUCCCUGCCAAACAACAACAGCAACCUAUCACUAUCAAAGAUUGAACAUUGACUUUAUUUUAUUACUGAAAAUUCAAACUUUAUUUCAGAUUCCAGUCACCUGCCUGAGAAAGCCAACAAUGUCAGAAAUCCAGAAUAUUUCAUUUCCAAGCUCUUUCCCCUGCUUGUUAGCUCAGAUUAUGGGAAAUGCUGGUUGAUAAUACCAGAGGUAUCUGUGACAGUAAAUUCUUGAACUAUGAUAAAUGAUGAACUUGGUACUGAAGAUUUCAUUUCAUGAAAUGUAUGUUCAAUUUCAGGUGGUGUUGGUUGUUUCUGUAGAAGUCUAAUUACCACAGUGUAAUUUUACUGCAUUGUAUGAGGAGAUAUGGAAUCUCUGUUAAUGCUUGAUUGGUAAAAGCUCACAAGAGAUCCCUUGAUAUUCCAGUUGCUGAGCGAUGAACCAUAUACUUAAUUGCCUCCCAUGCAAAAACAACACUGUCACCUCUAGUGACUUUUAACUUCAUUGAACCAAGUAAAAUGGGCAAGGUUUGCUGAUAGAAGGGGGCAGGUUGAUAAUUUUGUAAAUCUAAGGAUUUGGGUCUUUCAGUCGAUAGCAAUCCUUGUGGAAGGGUAAAACUUUUCAGGGGUGUCUUAAUAGGACCUGACUUUAGGAGGAAUAAACACCUGGGGAGGGGAUGUAGUAGCAACGCAACCUGUUUUUAUAAGGUUCAAACAAGAAAUUUGCAAGAAACAGCACAAUAUUACUAGAAUAAAUAGCAACAAUAUAAUAACAGCAUUAAACAGCAAGUUGCAAUACGUUUAUCAAAAAUAGCAGCAUGCAGUAAUUAAUAAAUAAAAAUGCCAGUCAUCUAUUUUAAAGGACCCCAAUAUUUAGGGUUGCCAUAUUUCAUAAAGUGAAAUUCUGGACACAAAACCUACUCUAUUUCUCAUCUAGAAGAAAAAUUACUCCAUGUCAUCCCCACCUACCCAUCCCCCAACAUCUAGGGCACUUUAUAAUAUUACCACCCUCUACCUCUCCUUUCCAAACUAAAUAAGAUACCUUCAGGUGUGGUUGAUGGUGGCAUCUUCCAUUGUAAACAUUUCCAGGGAGGUAGUCAUGUUUGGUUCUUGUAA